GGGUUGUGAGGUUAAGCGACUAAGCGUACACGGUGGAUGCCCUGGCAGUCAGAGGCGAUGAAGGACGUGCUAAUCUGCGAUAAGCGUCGGUAAGGUGAUAUGAACCGUUAUAACCGGCGAUUUCCGAAUGGGGAAACCCAGUGUGAUUCGUCACACUAUCAUUAACUGAAUCCAUAGGUUAAUGAGGCGAACCGGGGGAACUGAAACAUCUAAGUACCCCGAGGAAAAGAAAUCAACCGAGAUUCCCCCAGUAGCGGCGAGCGAACGGGGAGGAGCCCAGAGCCUGAAUCAGUGUGUGUGUUAGUGGAAGCGUCUGGAAAGGCGCGCGAUACAGGGUGACAGCCCCGUACACAAAAAUGCACAUAUUGUGAGCUCGAUGAGUAGGGCGGGACACGUGGUAUCCUGUCUGAAUAUGGGGGGACCAUCCUCCAAGGCUAAAUACUCCUGACUGACCGAUAGUGAACCAGUACCGUGAGGGAAAGGCGAAAAGAACCCCGGCGAGGGGAGUGAAAAAGAACCUGAAACCGUGUACGUACAAGCAGUGGGAGCCUCUUUAUGGGGUGACUGCGUACCUUUUGUAUAAUGGGUCAGCGACUUAUAUUCUGUAGCAAGGUUAACCGAAUAGGGGAGCCGAAGGGAAACCGAGUCUUAACUGGGCGUUAAGUUGCAGGGUAUAGACCCGAAACCCGGUGAUCUAGCCAUGGGCAGGUUGAAGGUUGGGUAACACUAACUGGAGGACCGAACCGACUAAUGUUGAAAAAUUAGCGGAUGACUUGUGGCUGGGGGUGAAAGGCCAAUCAAACCGGGAGAUAGCUGGUUCUCCCCGAAAGCUAUUUAGGUAGCGCCUCGUGAAUUCAUCUCCGGGGGUAGAGCACUGUUUCGGCAAGGGGGUCAUCCCGACUUACCAACCCGAUGCAAACUGCGAAUACCGGAGAAUGUUAUCACGGGAGACACACGGCGGGUGCUAACGUCCGUCGUGAAGAGGGAAACAACCCAGACCGCCAGCUAAGGUCCCAAAGUCAUGGUUAAGUGGGAAACGAUGUGGGAAGGCCCAGACAGCCAGGAUGUUGGCUUAGAAGCAGCCAUCAUUUAAAGAAAGCGUAAUAGCUCACUGGUCGAGUCGGCCUGCGCGGAAGAUGUAACGGGGCUAAACCAUGCACCGAAGCUGCGGCAGCGACGCUUAUGCGUUGUUGGGUAGGGGAGCGUUCUGUAAGCCUGCGAAGGUGUGCUGUGAGGCAUGCUGGAGGUAUCAGAAGUGCGAAUGCUGACAUAAGUAACGAUAAAGCGGGUGAAAAGCCCGCUCGCCGGAAGACCAAGGGUUCCUGUCCAACGUUAAUCGGGGCAGGGUGAGUCGACCCCUAAGGCGAGGCCGAAAGGCGUAGUCGAUGGGAAACAGGUUAAUAUUCCUGUACUUGGUGUUACUGCGAAGGGGGGACGGAGAAGGCUAUGUUGGCCGGGCGACGGUUGUCCCGGUUUAAGCGUGUAGGCUGGUUUUCCAGGCAAAUCCGGAAAAUCAAGGCUGAGGCGUGAUGACGAGGCACUACGGUGCUGAAGCAACAAAUGCCCUGCUUCCAGGAAAAGCCUCUAAGCAUCAGGUAACAACAAAUCGUACCCCAAACCGACACAGGUGGUCAGGUAGAGAAUACCAAGGCGCUUGAGAGAACUCGGGUGAAGGAACUAGGCAAAAUGGUGCCGUAACUUCGGGAGAAGGCACGCUGAUAUGUAGGUGAAGCGACUUGCUCGUGGAGCUGAAAUCAGUCGAAGAUACCAGCUGGCUGCAACUGUUUAUUAAAAACACAGCACUGUGCAAACACGAAAGUGGACGUAUACGGUGUGACGCCUGCCCGGUGCCGGAAGGUUAAUUGAUGGGGUUAGCGGUAACGCGAAGCUCUUGAUCGAAGCCCCGGUAAACGGCGGCCGUAACUAUAACGGUCCUAAGGUAGCGAAAUUCCUUGUCGGGUAAGUUCCGACCUGCACGAAUGGCGUAAUGAUGGCCAGGCUGUCUCCACCCGAGACUCAGUGAAAUUGAACUCGCUGUGAAGAUGCAGUGUACCCGCGGCAAGACGGAAAGACCCCGUGAACCUUUACUAUAGCUUGACACUGAACAUUGAGCCUUGAUGUGUAGGAUAGGUGGGAGGCUUUGAAGUGUGGACGCCAGUCUGCAUGGAGCCGGCCUUGAAAUACCACCCUUUAAUGUUUGAUGUUCUAACGUUGGCCCGUAAUCCGGGUUGCGGACAGUGUCUGGUGGGUAGUUUGACUGGGGCGGUCUCCUCCUAAAGAGUAACGGAGGAGCACGAAGGUUGGCUAAUCCUGGUCGGACAUCAGGAGGUUAGUGCAAUGGCAUAAGCCAGCUUGACUGCGAGCGUGACGGCGCGAGCAGGUGCGAAAGCAGGUCAUAGUGAUCCGGUGGUUCUGAAUGGAAGGGCCAUCGCUCAACGGAUAAAAGGUACUCCGGGGAUAACAGGCUGAUACCGCCCAAGAGUUCAUAUCGACGGCGGUGUUUGGCACCUCGAUGUCGGCUCAUCACAUCCUGGGGCUGAAGUAGGUCCCAAGGGUAUGGCUGUUCGCCAUUUAAAGUGGUACGCGAGCUGGGUUUAGAACGUCGUGAGACAGUUCGGUCCCUAUCUGCCGUGGGCGCUGGAGAACUGAGGGGGGCUGCUCCUAGUACGAGAGGACCGGAGUGGACGCAUCACUGGUGUUCGGGUUGUCAUGCCAAUGGCACUGCCCGGUAGCUAAAUGCGGAAGAGAUAAGUGCUGAAAGCAUCUAAGCACGAAACUUGCCCCGAGAUGAGUUCUCCCUGACCCUUUAAGGGUCCUGAAGGAACGUUGAAGACGACGACGUUGAUAGGCCGGGUGUGUAAGCGCAGCGAUGCGUUGAGCUAACCGGUACUAAUGAACCGUGAGGCUUAACCUUACAACGCCGAAG
rnacentral:rRNA from 1 species